GUUUGAUCCUGGCUCAGAUUGAACGCUGGCGGCAUGCUUUACACAUGCAAGUCGAACGGCAGCGGGGGCUUCGGCCUGCCGGCGAGUGGCGAACGGGUGAGUAAUGCAUCGGAACGUGCCCAUGUCGUGGGGGAUAACGUAGCGAAAGCUACGCUAAUACCGCAUACGCCCUGAGGGGGAAAGCGGGGGAUUCUUCGGAACCUCGCGCGAUUGGAGCGGCCGAUGUCGGAUUAGCUAGUAGGUGAGGUAAAGGCUCACCUAGGCGACGAUCCGUAGCGGGUCUGAGAGGAUGAUCCGCCACACUGGGACUGAGACACGGCCCAGACUCCUACGGGAGGCAGCAGUGGGGAAUUUUGGACAAUGGGCGCAAGCCUGAUCCAGCCAUGCCGCGUGAGUGAAGAAGG
rnacentral:rRNA from 1 species